UAUUAUGCAGGGUGAUAAUUAUUAACAA
rnacentral:piRNA from 1 species